GUAGGGACAGCCACCGGGUUUCUCUCUUGCUCCGACGCGCGUCGCCAGGCAGCAUGACGCUCUUUCAGAUGGGCUAGCCUGGGGUCUGACGGACAGGUCUCCCCACCCGACUCCCCACCCCCAGACCCACAGGGCAGGAGGGAAUAAGAGUGCUUCCUCCCAGCGCUCCAAGACCGGGGCAGCCGCGGGUGACACCAGCUCCAGGAGGCAGAAGGGAAGAAUCCAAGGACUGGAGUUGGAAGAGAAGAGGAAAGACAGCAUUUCCAGCCAGGAAAUGGUGCAGUUAACCUGAGUGCACAUUCAAGACAUUAAUGACAGCCUGGUAUGAGCUUUGGCCGAAUCUGUUCAAGUUGUACAUUUGUCUAGACAAACUGAGCUUCUUUGCCAGCGCUGAAACAGCCACGAUCUACGUGCCCUACAUAGGUGCCUGUUGUACUGUCUCUCCUCGCUGAGCCUGGGCAGAAAGUCCAGAGAGGUAGGUCACCCAUCCCACAUCCUGCCCUGUGCCUCCUUCCAGGGCUGGGCUCAUCAAGUCACUCACCCUUUUGUCCCAUAAACAUGCAAUGGGUGUGUACUGUGCCCGAGAGACUGACCUGGCCCACAGGGAAUAUGUGGGCCUGCCCUCGAGUACACGGAUCUUCCCAGGACACGUGUGACCCUGACACAGUUGUGCACAAGGUGAGCACAAAAUUCUGUGUGCUGGAGGGAGAGAGGCCCAACAUCCAGCUGGAGCUUCUGGAAAGGUUCUGUAGGAGGAAAGCUCCCCAGAGGCUGUGGGGUUACCUCACUCUCCACCGGGUUGCAAACAUUUAUAGCUUUUUUAAUAGUGCCAAGGGAUUUCGUGAAGCUGGGCCUGGGAGGCGGAGGGAAGAAGGAUAUUCUGGGCAGGAGGAACUCCAUCUUGAAGGCCGAGAGGGGUCCCAAGGCUACGAGCAUCACGGGAGUGGACAGUAACCCAGUGCAAGAAGAGUAACAAUGGAGGGUUUAGUGGGAAGACCUCGCGGUGAAAUGGGAAAGAGGCCUUCACACCGGGCCUUGAGGUCUUGGCUCCUCUCCAGACACGUGUGGGCAGUCCAGCUGGUCAGGGGCUGUUAGAACAAGGGCUCACAGACUUGUGAAUUUUACACAUCACAAAAAAUUAUUUUAAAAAAAUGGAGGAGGAGGGAGCCGAUGUGGGGUUAACAACAUUUCAUUUUGCCCUGAAAGAGCAAGGAAACAAUUUCCAGGGCCACCAUUUCAUAAAAUAAAAGGCAUUUUUAAAUUUUUGAU